AACGAACGCUGGCGGCAUGCCUAACACAUGCAAGUCGAACGAGACCUUCGGGUCUAGUGGCGCACGGGUGCGUAACGCGUGGGAACCUUCCCUUAGGUUCGGAAUAACUCCCCGAAAGGGGUGCUAAUACCGGAUAAUGUCUUCGGACCAAAGAUUUAUCGCCUUUGGAUGGGCCCGCGUUGGAUUAGCUAGUUGGUAGGGUAAAAGCCUACCAAGGCGACGAUCCAUAGCUGGUCUGAGAGGAUGGUCAGCCACACUGGGACUGAGACACGGCCCAGACUCCUACGGGAGGAAGCAGUGGGGAAUAUUGGACAAUGGGCGAAAGCCUGAUCCAGCAAGGCCACGUGAGUGAUGAAGGCCUUAGGGUUGUAAAGCUCUUUUACCCGGGAUGAUAAUGACAGUACCGGGAGAAUAAGCUCCGGCUAACUCCGUG
rnacentral:rRNA from 1 species